GAUCCUGGCUCAGGAUGAACGCUAGCUACAGGCUUAACACAUGCAAGUCGAGGGGCAGCAUGGUCUUAGCUUGCUAAGACCGAUGGCGACCGGCGCACGGGUGAGUAACGCGUAUCCAACCUGCCUUACACUCUUGGACAGCCUUCUGAAAGGGAGAUUAAUACAAGAUGUUAUCAUAAGUAAGCAUUUUCGUCAUGAUUAAAGGUUUAACCGGGUUCGUAAGAAUGGGGAGUGCGUUCCUACUUAAG
rnacentral:rRNA from 1 species